rnacentral:lncRNA from 1 species
AACUCCUAAAGGGGUCAACUGACCAUUUUGGUCAUGUUGACUUAUUUGUAGAUCUUACUUUGCUGAACAUUAUUGCUGUUUACAAUUUAUCUCUAUCUAUAAUAAUAUUCAAGAUAAUAACCAAAAACAGCAAAAUUUCCUCAAAAUUACCAAUUCAGGGGCAGCAACCCAACAACCGAUUGACCGAUUCAUCUGAAAAUUUCAGGGCAGAUAGAUCUUGACCUGAUAAACAUUUUUAUCCCUGUCAGAUUUCCUCAAAAUGCUUUGGUUUUUGAGUUAUAAGCCAAAAACUGCAUUUUACCCCUAUGUUCUAUUUUUAGCGGUGGCGGCCAUCUUGGUUGGUUGACCAGGUCACGCCACACAUUUUUUAAACUAGAUACCCAAAGAUGAUUAUGGCCAAGUUUGGAUUAAUUUGGCCCAGUAGUUUCAGAGGAGAAGAUUUUUGUAAAAGAUUAAUUUAAUUUAUGAAAAAUGGUUAAAAUUGACUAUAAAGAGCAAUAACUCCU